CCUACGGGGUGCAGCAGUGAGGAAUAUUGGUCAAUGGACGCAAGUCUGAACCAGCCAUGCCGCGUGCAGGAAGACGGCUCUAUGAGUUGUAAACUGCUUUUGUACGAGGGUAAACGCAGAUACGCGUAUCUGUCUGAAAGUAUCGUACGAAUAAGGAUCGGCUAACUCCGUGCCAGCAGCCGCGGUAAUACGGAGGAUUCAAGCGUUAUCCGGAUUUAUUGGGUUUAAAGGGUGCGUAGGCGGUCGGAUAAGUUAGAGGUGAAAUUCCGAGGCUCAACUUCGGAAUUGCAUCUGAUACUGUUCGGCUAGAGAGUAGUUGCGGUAGGCGGAAUGUGUGGUGUAGCGGUGAAAUGCUUAGAGAUCAUACAGAACACCGAUUGCGAAGGCAGCUUACCAAGCUACUUCUGACGUUGAGGCACGAAAGCGUGGGGAGCAAACAGGAUUAGAUACCCCGGUAGUC
rnacentral:rRNA from 1 species